AGCUCUAAGGACACUGCAAACCAUUUUCUAUUGUUUAUUUUUUGGUUCUGGAAGUCUAGACAUAAGAGAGCAGGAGAAAGUUUAGAGAUAAAGGCCUAUUACCCAGGCCAUACAGGGGAAGAAACUUGUCAAGCCCAUGUAGAGAGUUGAGUGCCAGGUGUAUCAAGGAUUGGAGCCGGAAUAUGACUUGUUUGCCUGCAGACACUGAAGGUCUUUAUUUCUUUCAAGUCGCACCUGGUACAAAGUAGGUGCUCAAUAAAUUAAUGUUUCUAAUAGUUGCAAGAAAAUGGUCACUGGGAAAGUGUUCGUCCACUACCCCUGAAAGGUUUCAAGGCUUUUAAUAUUUUUUUUUUUCCCUUGAAUUCCAGAGCCUUCCCUUUGGGUGCCAAGUCCGAGGUGACCUCUUCAAAUUCAUAACGAGUAUGGAAUAAACAGAAAGCAGCUCAAGACACAGGCUAAAGUUUCCCCAACAAAGACGACCUCCCGUAGAUCCAUGCAAUGCCAGAGCUGAAGAUUCCUGGAUAUCAUCUGGUCAACCUCACACACCAUGAAACUGAGGCCCAGAAGAGGAAAAGAUAAUUCAAAGUGACAGACAGACAUGCCUGCACCAGAAGGCUGAUGGGUUUUUGGAGACACUCUGGCCCCAGGAAAUCAUUUGCCAAUGUUUGGUGUGACAUCCAGGGAGUUUUUGAUGCCACCUCUGUAGACUCUAUGAAACCCUGCAUUUAGGAAAACCAGAUUCUUCUCUUAAAAAUGUAACUUAGGCUGUUGAAAGUUCAACAACAAUUGUGAUGAGAAGAGACAGUGUUCACUGGGACUGAUUUCACAAAAGGUUAGCACCUUGGCAAAAG